UACGUAGGGUGCGAGCGUUGUCCGGAAUUAUUGGGCGUAAAGAGCUCGUAGGCGGUCUGUCGCGUCUGCUGUGAAAACUCGGGGCUUAACCCCGGGCCUGCAGUGGGUACGGGCAGACUAGAGUGCGGUAGGGGAGACUGGAAUUCCUGGUGUAGCGGUGAAAUGCGCAGAUAUCAGGAGGAACGCCGGUGGCGAAGGCGGGUCUCUGGGCCGUAACUGACGCUGAGGAGCGAAAGCGUGGGGAGCGAACAGG
rnacentral:rRNA from 1 species